GGUAACACAGUUUCCUUUUCGAGAUGCAAACCUGCGCCGACAGCAGCAUCGAGGUCAAAGCCGUGGACAUCCACAACCCAAAAAAAAAGACCCGGAGAGAAAAGUCUGAGGUGCCGGCUACGUGAAGAACGAUGACUGAGGGACGGAAAACAAGGCGGACGGGAGCCGGGAGCUGCUGCCGUCUCGACUCUGCAGAAUUGAACCAUCUUGCCAAAUCCAGCUGAUAAGCGAGGGACUGCGUGACUUCCGAUCCGAAACUGGAGAGGAUGAACCGAUAGCCGGGGAUGAGCGCCGACUGUCUGGUACGUAACUCCUCCACACAUUCACACCCUGACUGAAGCGCUGACUGAAGGUAUGAGGAGGCUCCGUGGUGCCACAACAGAGCAGCCACACUCACGGAUUAAUCUUUAUUAAGUUUUCCAUUAUUAUUAUUAUUAGAUGUGGGCGUUGUUUCUGAGAUGCAAUCAAAAUAUUAAACACUUAAAGUCCUGAGAUUUAUCUCGAUUAGUGUGGCGGUAACACGCUGCCCGGGGGCUCGGAGGAGUCAGACGUGAACGCAGUAACUCACUGGGAACAAAGUGUUCUUCACAAAAACCUUCACAAAAGGUGUUAAGUUCCCCAGCAUCCGACAGUUCAUCCGCCGUUUGCUGCUUUUUUUUGGAUACCGCCAAAUUUUUCACAGUGAACAGCAGCGAAGAAUAACUCGGUGCACUGCAAUAACUUUUUACGACCCCUGUCAAGAAACUGGUUCAACUAUAUUUACUCGACAAGCUUGACCUCCAAACCAGAAGUUUUUAAAUAAACCUCAAAGCGCGACACGUUGUGUGAACGACAGAUUUCUGCCUCGCUGUUCUCUGAUGUUCCUGUGUUUCAUUCCACCAUUUCUCACUGCAAACCCCACACGUGUGUUUCAGAUUUCCAUGUGACUUUUUCUUUGUAGUUGCCUAAGAGCCACGCUGAGCUGAGCAGCAGAGCGGGCCCAGAUGAGCCACAGCUAAUAUUUUACUAGCAUUUGCCCCGUGGCUGGUUGAGUCCUGUUACAGCAGGAUGUGGCGACUGACGUUAAGUCGGCCUGAUCUUCCCUGAGUCAAUCUCCUGACAGGACCCAGACUGGCCCUCUGCAGCCGGUCAAUGAUUACCAGCGUGAAGGACUUGGAGUGACCAGUGGCAAUCUAAUACAACUUUUUAACAAGUCCACUCGUAAAGCCAGGGGAUACAACUUCCUGUUACUUUUAAAAGACACAAUAUGAGAUUUAGGUUUUCCAUUCUGGAGGUCAACCACUCCGGGAUGGUGCUACUGUCAGAGUUUGUACGUGAUAUCCUGGAAUUCUGCGUAAAUUUCACGCAUUUUAUCUGCACCGUAAAACGACAUGCAAGAUGGUCAGGACUAAAAGUAAACCGCGCUACAUGAAAUGAGAGGCCAGAGCUGCACUGUUGUUCAUCCAGUUGGUUUUUUAGAUGCAACAUAAGUAUGGUUGAAUUCAGGUCCACGCUGCCAGCGCCAUCAAAGCAGCCAAAGCCACAACUCAACAAAAAGCGGCGGCUGUAGAGAAGGCCAGUUUUUCUGCAGGGUUCUGAAACCCGACGCUGUUCCUUAAAUUUCACGUAUCUGGUUUUGAUAGUAGUAUAUAAGGAGCUGCGUGCACACGCUCUGCUGCGAAGCCAGACAUGUGGGUGACGUGAAAAAACUGCUUAUUUGACUUUUGAAAGUACAGUGCACAGACUGGCAUCACGUGAGCCCGUGGUCAACGGUCGGAGAAUCGGACUUUUCCAACGCCAGCCGGCGGCUCAGUCCACAUGUGAGCUGACACGGUCAUUAGAGCCACUGCUUAAGGGAGGGAACAUGUUUAAAAUGACUGGUGCAUUUUGUAACACAGCCUCAAACAGUAACGAAACACCGAUGGUCUCGUGUCGUGGAUUUCGAUCUAAUCGCAGGGAAGCGAGAAUAAAAAAAAGAAGCAACGCCGGCCGUAAGAGUAGCUGCAACAGAUUCCAACCCCGGGGCCGUUAAAAACCACUUAAGUACGUGAUAAAAGGCAGAUGAGACAGACGACGGGCGGAUCGAGAAACGUGUUUGAAAGAGACAGGAAAGGGAAGCGAGAGAAAAUACGGCGAAGCUUGUGCACUGUGUGCAUGUGUGAGAGUGAGCGGCGGCAGCAGCAGCAGAGCCCGUGUGAGAAAGAGAGAAGCAGUCACAUGUCGGGGGGGAGGAGGAGGGAGGAGGAAAGGCUGCCAUCCCUCCAGCCUACGUCACAGUUAACGCCUCCCUCCAUCCCCUCCAUCCCUCCCUCCCUCCACUACAACUCACAUGACUGCAGCAGGGCCCUGUUCUGUAACUCCAGUCACGAGGAUAGCGUAGUAUUACAAUAACCAGCCGGCAGGGGCCUCACACACACACACACACACACACACCUUAUAACCCUGAGUAAAUAUUAACAUAUUAACGUUUGUAGAAUAGAUAACCUUAUCAGACUACACAGGUAGAAAGAAUUUAAAAGACAUAUAAUCUUUUUUUUCUUUCCCUUUUUCCUCAUUCAAGUUGCACUUUAUCUUUCCCCGUUCUGUGUUUCUCAAGGACUUUGCAGCAGUCGGGCCUCAGAGGAGAGAGGCUGCGGUUUAUUUUAUUUUAUUUAACAUACGAGAGCAUGCAGAGUCUCCACAUCCACCUCUCUGCCGACGCCACAUGGUGUGAUUACCCCUCGUUUUAUGGCACCGUCUCGGAAAAAACGUCCUCGACGCCUUGUUUCGAGGCGUUUCGCGUCGACGUCGCGAGGCGUUUGCGGGGCCGCCCGAAGCCACGUGUGCGCAUAAGUGGCUCCCCCCGUGGGAAUAUUACAUGUCUGUUUGAACGCCGUGACAACACGGUCAUGCAAUGCAUCACGGAGACACCUUAAGAGGCUCAACAGGCAUGCAAAUGAGGCUGCAGGUCGAGUGAAAGCGUGUGUUGUGGUUGUGCAAUGACUCACAUGCCGUCAUUCCCUAAGAUCUUCUGCAAUUUAUUAUCACAUAAGGACGACGUUUAUUUCCUCAUCAAAUCUUUCUGUUGGGUAAGGAAGGGAAGGGGAGGGGGGGGGGUGCGUCACAUGAUGCAGUUCAUCUCUGUUCUGCAUGUGUGUACAGUGUGUAGCUACUGUGUGCGUUCGCAUGCCUCUGCUGCAGCUUAUAAAUAGCCCUCAGACUCCCUGGAUCCCACCACACACUGAAUUAACCUGCUUAAGCCGCCAAUCAGCUGUGACAGAUAGCAGCCCCCCCCCCUCCACCAAACACACACACACACACACACAUCCACCAUCAACAGCACCUCCACAAACAGCCACAUCCUCUGAUGACCGUGCAAUCACAGCAAUAACAAUCACAAUCAUGGUGCAGUGAAGGCGGCGGUGCCACCGACACAGACCGAGCCGUGGAGCUGGAGGUGAACGCUGAUGAUCCUUAGCCUCCGCAGACACAGCAGGGAGAUUGAGAAUUUGCAAUUUAUUUAUUUAUUUAUUUUUUUAUUUUUUUAUCCACCACUAAAUCCCGUUGGGAAAUCUGCUAAUUUCUACUUCCCUUGUAUUUGUGCAGCCACACGCAUGCCACGUUAUACAAACCAGGAGCCUGUCCUUAUGAAAGCCUCAUCCUGAAACAUUCAGUAUAGUUUUCAUGCUGAAUGCGUCACUCCUCUUUUUUUUUUUUUUUUUUUUUUGUAAAC